UUGAACUCGGCAAAUUGCCCCCGUAACUUCGGGAGAAGGGGGGCCUCCGCUGGUGAUCAGACUUGCUUUGUGAGCUGGUGGGGGUCGCAGAGGCCAGGGGGAAGCGACUGUUUACUAAAAACACAGGUCCGUGCGAAGUCGUAAGACGAUGUAUACGGACUGACGCCUGCCCGGUGCUGGAACGUUAAGGGGACCGGUUAGCGCAUUUCGGUGUGCGAGGCUGAGAACUUAAGCGCCAGUAAACGGCGGUGGUAACUAUAACCAUCCUAAGGUAGCGAAAUUCCUUGUCGGGUAAGUUCCGACCUGCACGAAUGGCGUAACGACUUCCCCGCUGUCUCAACCGCAGACCCGGCGAAAUUGCACUACGAGUAAAGAUGCUCGUUACGCGCAGCAGGACGGAAAGACCCCGGGACCUUCACUACAGCUUGACAUUGGCGUUUGGAACGUCUUGUGUAGGAUAGGUGGGAGACUGUGAAGCUGUCACGCUAGUGGCGGUGGAGUCAUUGGUGAAAUACCACUCUGGUCGUUUUGAACGUCUAACUUCGGUCCGUGAUCCGGAUCAGGGACAGUGUCUGGUGGGUAGUUUAACUGGGGCGGUUGCCUCCUAAAGAGUAACGGAGGCGCCCAAAGGUUCCCUCAGCCUGGUUGGUAAUCAGGUGUCGAGUGUAAGUGCACAAGGGAGCUUGACUGUGAGACCGACGGGUCGAGCAGGAGCGAAAGCUGGGACUAGUGAUCCGGCGGUGGCAUGUGGAAGCGCCGUCGCUCAACGGCUAAAAGGUACCCCGGGGAUAACAGGCUGAUCUUCCCCAAGAGUCCAUAUCGACGGGAUGGUUUGGCACCUCGAUGUCGGCUCGUCGCAUCCUGGGGCUGGAGUAGGUCCCAAGGGUUGGGCUGUUCGCCCAUUAAAGCGGUACGCGAGCUGGGUUUAGAACGUCGCGAGACAGUUCGGUCCCUAUCCGCUGCGCGCGCAGGAGACUUGAAAGGAGCUGUCCCUAGUACGAGAGGACCGGGACGGACGAACCUCUGGUGUGCCAGUUGUUCCGCCAGGAGCAUGGCUGGUUGGCUACGUUCGGAAGGGAUAACCGCUGAAAGCAUCUAAGCGGGAAGCUCGCCUUGAGAUGAGGUCUCCCACCACGAGAGUGGGUAAGGCCCCCGGGAGACGACCGGGUUGAUAGGCCGGAGGUGGAAGCAUGGCAACGUGUGGAGCUGACCGGUACUAAUAGGCCGAGGACUUGACCAC
rnacentral:rRNA from 1 species